rnacentral:lncRNA from 1 species
CCCUAAUCUAAAAUAUCCAAACUAUAAAGUUCAAUGCAGUGUUGCACACAAUUAUUGAAGCAAAUUAAACUGUUUACCACUAUUUAUCCUUGUCAAAUGCAACAACUCUUGCAUCUUUCCAUUCCCACUUUAAGCUAGCUUUCAUUUCAUUAUAGUUUGCUCACAGUAAGAGAUGAUGUUAGAGUGAUCGUUGUUCAGGUAAGUCUACUCUUCCAUUUCUGAUUAUUGAUAAUUUAUCUUAGCCAAUAAUUGAAUUUUGAGAUCAUGAACUCUGCAAAAAUUGAAAAAUCUCUUCGAGAUUGGAAACUGCCCCCAUCUUCACCCUCAGAUGUCUUUAAGCGAAGACGUUUCCUCAAUUUUUCUUCUGAACCUUACUUCUAAUAAUCAAAACCAUAGAGAAAGAAAUUCCCUUAUCUGAGGAAUACGCAUCGUUUCCUCUCUUCACCGAUCAUCUUCAAAGAGUUUACAAAAACCAAUACUCCUACCUUCAUAUGGGAAUGAUUCAGGUGGGUGUGAAACCUACGAAACUAGGUUCGAACACCUCUGUAAUAAUAUCCCUUCGCGACAAGAGAUUUCUAAAAUUUGAUGACUCUUUGUUAGGAUUGGUUGAAUCAAGUUUAAGCGAUGGCCCCAUUUAUUUCUCCUACUUUCCUUCCCAUUUUGUUAGUUUGUCAGAUCCUCAUCUGAGCGAAACCUUCACCAUUGAUAUCAAAACCCAAGGAUGUAGUAAGGAUGAGAACGUGAUUCUCAUGUAUAAAUUCCACUAUAAAGCGACGAAUAGUUAUAACAUUGACAAGAAAAAUGUGUCGCGUAGUCUCGUUGGAGAAACGACUUUGUUCCUUACUAAUAUUGUUGGUGGGAGAAAUCGUGUGGUGUCGAAGAAGAUCUACUGGGAUCAGGUUUCAUUGCCUGAGGCAUGGAUGGAUAGAAACGACGGCGGUGGCGGCUCAGUUUCCUCCGGUGAGGCUCGCAUCGACUGGAAGGAGGCGGCGGAGGCGCACGUGUUGAAGGUGGAUGUUCCCGGAUUCAAGAAGGGGGAAGUUAGGGUUGAGGUUGAAGGUGGUAGAGUUCUCCAAAUUAGUGGGGAGAGGAGGAAGGAGGAGGAGGAGAGCGAUGGCAAGUGGCAUUGUGAGGAGAGGAGCGGCGGAGGGAGAUUCCUCCGCCGCGUGACGAUGCCGGAGAAUGCCAAAUUGGGUGAGGUGAAGGUGAGUUUGGAGGAUGGGGUGCUGACGGUGACGGUGCCCAAGGGGGAAGUCCAACGGAAGCCGGAAGUGGUGGUUAUCGAUAUUUCUGGUUAAAGCAAAUCAUGUUCCGGUGUGGACGAUGAAGCGGCGAUUUGUUGGUAAGACGUUUCUCCUCCAAUCAAUAGGUCCAACCAAUAGAUCGGGGUUCUAGUCACCUAGUGUGGGUAUGUAAUAACAAUUAAAAAAAAUAAAAAAUUUUGUUCCAUGUGUGCAAUUAGUGCCAUGUUGUGUAAAUAGUGUAAGAACAGAGUGAUUCUGUAUUUCUGUUUUGAUGUGUAAUAUUGAAACGGGCGUUGUUUAAAGGUGAUAGAUUCUAGAUAAUGCUGCUGCUUUCUACACUCUUCUGUUUUCUUCUUCUUCUUACUUCUCAUUUUUGAGGCUUCUAUGAAUUUGGGCUAUCGGAUUGAAUUGCCCAUGCUCCACUGACCCAAAUUGAAUUACAUAAUUAUACUAGACGAAAACGGCAAGAAUUUUAAUGAAAAUAGAUGAGUGUAUUGUGAAUUGAGAAGGGGUACAAUAUCUUUUUCACAGAUUGCAUUAUGGGUACAAUAUUUCUGAUUUUCAAUCAUACAUAUAUAUCAUUAUGGGUUUUAAAUAAAUUUAUAUGUGAACAGAGUUGAUAUAUAAUCUAUAUCAAAAACGUGAUUUUUAUAUCAUUUAUUAAUCGAGUCCUUACAAUAUUACAUAUAGUAUACGGAUGUAUGAAUUUUAUUCAAUUUUUUUUAAUUAUUUUUCUUCAAUUUCAAUAUAUUAUAUUGAACAAUUUUAUAAUAAUCAGAUAAGAUUCACUACUUUUUUAAUACUUAAUAUAUACAUUUUAAGUGAAAAUGAUUAUUUGGGUGAAUUAUUCAUAUAUAGAGUGGUUUGACUCCUUUACAUAGGAGAAUAUUAAUUUGAAAUUGUCCAAAUACGAUUUUCCUAGUAAUGCUAUGAUUUCAAUUUAUAGUCUUUAAUUAGGAAGAUCAAGACUUUGCUUUUGUACAAAUGUCUUCUUAAUAUAUAUGCAAAAAUAUAUGCAAAAAUAUAAAGCAGGUGUGGGAGCAGGAAAUUGAAAUAAGCAAUAGCAACCUGUUAAAGCGCUCUACAAUUAUUAGAGCCAAGUUUAACCUAUUCAAUCAACAAGUGGAUGUACUGUUUCGACACUAAUUGAUACCUAUUUUGUUCCAUAAAAAUGUGCAUUUUUUAUAGUUUUGAUACGUUCAUCUGUGCGCAUUUACUUUUUUGGACACAUUUUCUUCCGUGAGAAUUGACCUCCUUAGCUAAAACGAGAUAGUUUAUGACUUAUGUAGGCAACUAUAUAAAAGCAUUACUUUGGGGGUCAAAAGCCAUUGAAAAGACAAAAUAAUCCUUACUAAUUAAUGAAUAAAAAUAAAAGAAAAAUGAAAUUGAAACAAAACCCAACAACAACAUCAUGUUCUUUCUCUCUCUCUCUUUGAAUUGACUCUCUCUCUCUCUCUCUCUUCGAAUGAUAGCUUAUUCCUCAUAAAUGAAGCUAUCUUCCUCAACCAACACAUGAAGCUUUCGUCCCAGGUUAAGGAUUCAUCGUAAGCUGUAUGAAACAAUGGGUAUUGUUUUGUAAUUACCCUUAGGAUGGAAUAUUUUUGAGAAAAAGGCUCAAACGAUGGGCCAAAAAGUGACAUUUACCCAAAUAGAAAACUAUCCACAGCCUUCUUCUUUAUUUUCUUUAUUAUUUUCUGUCAUCAAACUCUCCAAUAUUUAUGCGGGCCCUAAUCUAACAUAUCCAAACUAUAAAGUUCAAUGCAGUGUUGCACACAAUUAUUGAAGCAAAUUAAACUGUUUACCACUAUUUAUCCUUGUCAAAUGCAACAACUCUUGCAUCUUUCCAUUCCCACUUUAAGCUAGCUUUCAUUUCAUUAUAGUUUGCUCACAGUAAGAGAUGAUGUUAGAGUGAUCGAUGUUCAGGUAAGUCUACUCUUCCAUUUCUGAUUAUUGAUAAUUAAUCUUAGCCAAUAAUUGAAUUUUGAGAUCAUGAACUCUGCAAAAAUUGAAAAAUCUCUUCGAGAUUGGAAACUGCCCCCAUCUUCACCCUCGGAUGUCUUUAAGCGAAGACGUUUCCUCAAUUUUUCUUCUGAACCUUCUUGUAUAAUCAAAACCGUAGAGAAAGAAAUUCCCUUAUCUGAGGAAUACGCAUCGUUUCCUCUCUUCACCGAUCAUCUUCAAAGAGUUUACAAAAACCAAUACUCCUACCUUCAUAUGGGAAUGAUUCAGGUGGGUGUGAAACCUACGAAACUAGGUUCGAACACCUCUGUAAUAAUAUCCCUUCGCGACAAGAGAUUUCUAAAAUUUGAUGAAUCUUUGUUAGGAUUGGUUGAAUCAAGUUUAUGCGAUGGCCCCAUUUAUUUCUCCUACUUUCCUUCCCAUUUUGUUAGUUUGUCAGAUCCUCAUCUGAGCGAAACCUUCACCAUUGAUAUCAAAACCCAAGGAUGUAGUAAGGAUGAGAACGUGAUUCUCAUGUAUAAAUUCCACUAUAAAGCGACGAAUAGUAAUAACAUUGACGAGAAAAAUGUGUCGCGUAGUCUCGUUGAUGGGGAUCGAGAA